AAUCAACGCUGGCGGCGUGCCUAACACAUGCAAGUCGAACGUGAAAGGGGCUUCGGCCCUGAGUAAAGUGGCAAACGGGUGAGUAACGCGUGGGUGAUCUGCCUCUGAGUGGGGGAUACCUUCCGAAAGGAGGGCUAAUACCGCAUGACAUCCUGUUCUUGGAUGAACGGUGAUCGAAGCUGGGGACCGCAAGGCCUGGC
rnacentral:rRNA from 1 species